AACGCACACAAUACAUGCAUCUGAAAGUGUUACCUCUGAGUAGAACUGAAAAUCAGAACUUCCAGCAUCUAUGGCGACAGAAAUAGGUUGGUGAGCAGCUGCUUUCAGCAGAGCAUCCUCAUCGUUUUCGGGUACAUUCUCAUGGCCAUCAAUUGACACUGCGGCAGUGACAGCACCUUUCUUUCUCCAAUCAACCGAUGUGGGGACUUUCUCAACAUUCUCAUACAUGAACUUGCCAGUACCACGCUGCGACCCCCGGAACAUCCUGUGGUGCUUAAUCUUGGAGCCGGCGUAAGUGCUUUUGAACUCAUGAUUGGUCAUGUCUGCAAACUUGUUUAGUUUCAGUUUGUAAGGCUUGUCCUUCUUGUUAGUGUUGUGAACAUGCAUGACAUUAUCCUUAAACACAUUGAAACGCUUUGCCUUCUCACCAAGACUCCGAGACACCGUGUGAUGGCUUCUCCAUCUCUCGUACAGUUCCCACAAGCUAUCCUCGGUUUCCAACUCCUUCUCAUGGAAAUCAAAACUCUCCACAAUCCCAAGAACAAGAGCAAGUGAAACAGCAACCAAUAAAAACUUCUUCAUGUCUAAUAAUUGUGUAUUGAAUUUGAAUAUGGAAAUGUAGAGACCUUAUAGCUCCCUUUUAUAGAAGUACGAAUGAACACAGAAUAAGAAAUAAGAGCGUGGAAGAUCAAGAAAAAACAAAAUAAAAUAAAUGUAGAAGUUACAGGUUUCUUGUGGACAUCAACAACUUGCUGUAAUGAUAUAAAGAAAUGGUGUUUGAGCAUUUCCAAAUAAAGAUGAAUGUGUUUGGUUUUUUA